UACGUAGGGGGCAAGCGUUGUCCGGAAUCAUUGGGCGUAAAGAGCGUGUAGGCGGCUCGGUAAGUCCGCUGUGAAAGUCCAGGGCUCAACCCUGGAAUGCCGGUGGAAACUGUCGAGUUAGAGUCCGGAAGAGGCGAGUGGAAUUCCGCGUGUAGCAGUGAAAUGCGUAGAGAUGCGGAGGAACACCGAUGGCGAAGGCAGCCCCCUGGGCUGACACUGACGCUCAGGCACGAAAGCGUGGGGAGCAAACAGG
rnacentral:rRNA from 1 species